rfam:Gasterosteus aculeatus cont1.005048, whole genome shotgun sequence.
UUAAUUAGUAUAGCCUGUUUUAGUGAUAUCAGCAAUUCUUUACAGGCUAUGCUAAUCUGUGC